UGGGGAAUUUUGCGCAAUGGGGGAAACCCUGACGCAGCAACGCCGCGUGGAGGAUGAAAUAUCUUGGUAUGUAAACUCCUUUCGAUGGGGAAGAUUAUGACGGUACCCAUAGAAGAAGCCCCGGCUAACUUCGUGCCAGCAGCCGCGGUAAUACGAGGGGGGCAAGCGUUGUUCGGAUUUAUUGGGCGUAAAGGGUGCGUAGGCGGUUUGGCAAGUCUGAUGUGAAAUCUAUGGGCUCAACCCAUAGUCUGCAUCAGAAACUGCCGGGCUUGAGUAUGGGAGAGGUGAGUGGAAUUUCCGGUGUAGCGGUGAAAUGCGUAGAUAUCGGAAGGAACACCUGUGGCGAAAGCGGCUCACUGGACCAUAACUGACGCUGAUGCACGAAAGCUAGGGGAGCAAACAGGAUUAGAUACCCCUGUAGUCC
rnacentral:rRNA from 1 species